UCCCUGGUGGCUCAGAGGUUAAAGUGUCUGCCUCCAAUGCGGGAGACCCGCGUUCGAUUCCUGGGUCAGGGAG
rnacentral:tRNA from 1 species